CGUGUGAGAAACCUGUUAUGGAGUGGGGGACAACAGUUGGAAACGACUGCUAAUACCGCAUAAGCCCACGGUACCGCAUGGUACAGAGGGAAAAGGAGCAAUUCGCUUCAGGAUGGACUCGCGUCUGAUUAGCUAGUUGGUGGGGUAACGGCCUACCAAGGCGACGAUCAGUAGCCGGACUGAGAGGUUGAUCGGCCACAUUGGGACUGAGAUACGGCCCAGACUCCUACGGGAGGCAGCAGUGGGGAAUAUUGCACAAUGGGGGAAACCCUGAUGCAGCGACGCCGCGUGGAGGAAGAAGGUCUUCGGAUUGUAAACUCCUGUUGUCAAGGACGAUAAUGACGGUACUUGACAAGAAAGCCACGGCUAACUACGUGCCAGCAGCCGCGAUAAAACGUAGGUGGCAAGCGUUGUCCGGAAUUACUGGGUGUAAAGGGAGCGCAGGCGGACCGGCAAGUUGGAUGUGAAACCCACGGGCUCAACCUGUGGCCUGCAUCCAAAACUGUCGGUCUUGAGUAGUGCAGAGGUAGGCGGAAUUCCCGGUGUAGCGGUGGAAUGCGUAGAUAUCGGGAGGAACACCAGUGGCGAAGGCGGCCUACUGGGCACCAACUGACGCUGAGGCUCGAAAGUAUGGGUAGCAAACAGGAUUAGAUACCCUGGUAGUCCAUACCGUAAACGAUGAUUACUAGGUGUUGGAGGAUUGACCCCUUCAGUGCCGCAGUUAACACAAUAAGUAAUCCACCUGGGGAGUACGGCCGCAAGGCUGAAACUCAAAGGAAUUGACGGGGGCCCGCACAAGCAGUGGAGUAUGUGGUUUAAUUCGAAGCAACGCGAAGAACCUUACCAGGUCUUGACAUCGAGUGACGAACGCAGAGAUGCGUUUUUCCUUCGGGACACGAAGACAGGUGGUGCAUGGUUGUCGUCAGCUCGUGUCGUGAGAUGUUGGGUUAAGUCCCGCAACGAGCGCAACCCUUACUGUUAGUUACUACGCAAGAGGACUCUAGCAGGACUGCCGUUGACAAAACGGAGGAAGGUGGGGAUGACGUCAAAUCAUCAUGCCCUUUAUGACCUGGGCUACACACGUACUACAAUGGCGUUUAACAAAGAGAAGCAAUACCGCGAGGUGGAGCAAAACUCAAAAACAACGUCCCAGUUCAGACUGCAGGCUGCAACUCGCCUGCACGAAGUCGGAAUUGCUAGUAAUCGCGGAUCAGCAUGCCGCGGUGAAUACGUUCCCGGGCCUUGUACACACCGCCCGUCACACCAUGAGAGCCGGGGGGACCCGAAGUCCGUAGUCUAACCUUUAUCGGAGGACGCGGCCGAAGG
rnacentral:rRNA from 1 species